GCACUGCUGAGGAGUCCCAUACUAGGACGAAACGGCAGUCCAGUGC
rfam:Schistosoma haematobium scaffold691_1, whole genome shotgun sequence.